rnacentral:tRNA from 1 species
GGCCGGGAUAGCUCAGUUGGUAGAGCAGAGGACUGAAAAUCCUC